AUUGAACGCUGGCGGCAUGCUUUACACAUGCAAGUCGAACGGCAGCGGGGUAGUGCUUGCACUACUGCCGGCGGGUGGCGAACGGGUGAGUAAUAUAUCGGAACGUACCGAGUAAUGGGGGAUAACCAAUCGAAAGAUUGGCUAAUACCGCAUACGUCCUACGGGAGAAAGCGGGGGAUCGCAAGACCUCGCGUUAUUCGAGCGGCCGAUAACUGAUUAGCUAGUUGGUGGGGUAAAGGCCUACCAAGGCGACGAUCAGUAGCGGGUCUGAGAGGACGAUCCGCCACACUGGGACUGAGACACGGCCCAGACUCCUACGGGAGGCAGCAGUGGGGAAUUUUGGACAAUGGGGGGCAACCCUGAUCCAGCCAUGCCGCGUGUAUGAAGAAGGCCUUCGGGUUGUAAAGUACUUUUGUUAGGGAAGAAAAGGGAAGUGCUAAUACCACUUUUUGCUGACGGUACCUAAAGAAUAAGCACCGGCUAACUACGUGCCUGCAGCCGCGGUAAUACGUAGGGUGCGAGCGUUAAUCGGAAUUACUGGGCGUAAAGCGAGCGCAGACGGUUAUUUAAGCAGGAUGUGAAAUCCCCGGGCUUAACCUGGGAACUGCGUUCUGAACUGGAUAGCUAGAGUGUGUCAGAGGGGGGUAGAAUUCCACGUGUAGCAGUGAAAUGCGUAGAGAUGUGGAGGAAUACCGAUGGCGAAGGCAGCCCCCUGGGAUAACACUGACGUUCAUGCUCGAAAGCGUGGGUAGCAAACAGG
rnacentral:rRNA from 1 species